GGCUGCCUGCGCUCCUUGGCUCAUGGCUCCUCCCUUCGCUAGCCAGCCAUGGCCAGUCCAGUCCUCCCAUUACGGCAUCUGAAACUGACUCUCAGGGAUUACACUGAGCCCUCUGGGGUCUUCCAGGAUCAGGUCAUGUUAAGGAUUGAACUCGAUGAUGGCACUUAACCACGGAGCCACAUAUCCAGCCUUGUUCUAUUUUGAAUCUCAAGGUAGGGUUUCACUAAGUGGUGAGGGCCUCCAUAAGUUGCGAGGCUAGCCUCAAACUUGUGAUACCUCUGUCUCCACCUCCCGAGCUGCUGGCAUUAUAGGCCUGUGCCUCCGUCCUGGGCUUCUCUCCUGCUUUAAAAAGGUGGCUGUCUGCCAACUGAAGCCCUGGGAGAAGGAAGCAUUUCCGUUCGGGGAACGCCUGCUGUGGGUGCCGAGGACUGGGCCGGCAUGUGCAGAGGGACCCAUAGGUUUUUACUCUCUUCUUGGACUCUGCAAAUCUCACCAAUGCUGAAAGGAAAGGCUAAGAAGUUAGAGAACCUCCUAAAGUCACAGGAUGGGAGACGGCCGAGAGGGAUUUGAACCAGCCCUUCAUGUUCCAGAGCCCACCCUCUGUCCACCCCUGCCAGCCCCCCUGGGACCGCAGCUCCUCUCACGGGCUGCCGUGGGGAUCUCCAAGCAGCCAUUCUGGGCCAAGUCCCCGGGUGCUUCUUGGGUCUCCUGUUUCUGCCUUGGAGUUCGGAUGUGGCCAGCACCACUUCCUUGCUCCCUUUAGAGACCCUGGUCAGAACAGAGUCCUGAAAUCCCCUCUGCCCCCCGUAUUCGUGGCUCAGGGUGGAGGAGGGCCCGAGGCCGAGCCUUCAGUGGCACUCAGGAUGGCCAUCGGGAUGUUGGUGACCUUGGCCACUCAGCUGCCAGCCCUCAGCCUGGGGUGGAAGAUGCCCCCCCCCGGCUGGGAUGGGGGUGCACAGCCCCCAACAGGACCCGAGCUGCUGGACCUGCAGUUUCCCCUGUGACACGGCCAAGCCAGAAUACAUUUGAGAAAACCUAACGGGAAAGGAGGAAACGCUCCCAUUAAGAAAACAAAUCCAAGCUCCUUGGCGCGCCUGGGACGCCCGCGUGACAGUGUGGUCAUCUUUAUUAACUUUCCAUCCCGCUCAGAUCUCCAGCGCCUGCACAAUUAUCAGAGCCAGGCGAUCGAUACCUCAUUAAUGGCGAAGCUCCGGGGAGGACGCGCCAACCAGGCCCUUCUGAAGUGCAUCCCUCUCUUUCUGGGGUCUCUUGAUGGCCUGUUCCUUGCAGACAGGCAAAACCCUCAGAGCUGGGGGUCUCGUCCCCCAGGGCGUGGUCAGCUCUGCAGACCCAGCACCCUGGCCCUCCCCUGACGAGCAGAGCCCGUCCAAAGUUUCCCGUUUCUCUCUGAUGUCAGAGAUGUUUUAACCAGCUGGGGGCAGAAUUACAUUCUGGAAAUUACAGGGGCUGAGGGAAAAAAAAAAAAAAUA